GAGUUUUGAUCAUGGCUCAGAUUGAACGCUGGCGGCAGGCCUAACACAUGCAAGUCGAACGGUAACAUUUCUAGCUUGCUAGUCGAUGACGAGUGGCGGACGGGUGAGUAAUGCUUGGGAACUUGCCUUUGCGAGGGGGAUAACAGUUGGAAACGACUGCUAAUACCGCAUAAUGUCUUCGGACCAAACGGGGCUUCGGCUCCGGCGCAAAGAGAGGCCCAAGUGAGAUUAGCUAGUUGGUAAGGUAACGGCUUACCAAGGGCGACGAUCUCUAGCUGUUCU
rnacentral:rRNA from 1 species